UAACAGCUCGUUCUUGUUAUGAAAAGCUGCACCCUUGUUUACAGGAUGUAAACAAGGGUGCAGCUUUUCAUAACAAGAACGAGCUGUUAAAAAUCUGA
rnacentral:pre_miRNA from 1 species